rnacentral:rRNA from 1 species
UGGGAAUUUUGGACAAUGGGCGCAAGCCUGAUCCAGCCAUGCCGCGUGCGGGAAGAAGGCCUUCGGGUUGUAAACCGCUUUUGUCAGGGAAGAAAUCUUCUGAGUUAAUACCUCGGGAGGAUGACGGUACCUGAAGAAUAAGCACCGGCUAACUACGUGCCAGCAGCCGCGGUAAUACGUAGGGUGCAAGCGUUAAUCGGAAUUACUGGGCGUAAAGCGUGCGCAGGCGGUUUUGUAAGACAGAGGUGAAAUCCCCGGGCUCAACCUGGGAACUGCCUUUGUGACUGCAAGGCUUGAGUGCGGCAGAGGGGGGAUGGAAUUCCGCGUGUAGCAGUGAAAUGCGUAGAUAUGCGGAGGAAACACCGAUGGCGAAGGCAAUCCCCUGGGCCUGCACUGACGCUCAUGCACGAAAGCGUGGGGAGCAAAACAGGAUUAGAUACCCUGGUAGUCCACGCCCUAAACGAUGUCAACUGGUUGUUGGGAAGGUUCCUUCUCAGUAACGUAGCUAACGCGUGAAGUUGACCGCCUGGGGAGUACGGCCGCAAGGUUGAAACUCAAAUGAAUUGACGGGGUCAUAGCUGUUUCCUG